rnacentral:rRNA from 1 species
UGCUGGAGGUAUCAGAAGUGCGAAUGCUGACAUAAGUAACGAUAAAGCGGGUGAAAAGCCCGCUCGCCGGAAGACCAAGGGUUCCUGUCCAACGUUAAUCGGGGCAGGGUGAGUCGACCCCUAAGGCGAGGCCGAAAGGCGUAGUCGAUGGGAAACAGGUUAAUAUUCCUGUACUUGGUGUUACUGCGAAGGGGGGACGGAGAAGGCUAUGUUGGCCGGGCGACGGUUGUCCCGGUUUAAGCGUGUAGGCUGGUUUUCCAGGCAAAUCCGGAAAACCAAGGCUGAGGCGUGAUGACGAGGCACUACGGUGCUGAAGCGACAAAUGCCCUGCUUCCAGGAAAAGCCUCUAAGCAUCAGGUAACAUCAAAUCGUACCCCAAACCGACACAGGUGGUCAGGUAGAGAAUACCAAGGCGCUUGAGAGAACUCGGGUGAAGGAACUAGGCAAAAUGGUGCCGUAACUUCGGGAGAAGGCACGCUGAUAUGUAGGUGAAGCGACUUGCUCGUGGAGCUGAAAUCAGUCGAAGAUACCAGCUGGCUGCAACUGUUUAUUAAAAACACAGCACUGUGCAAACACGAAAGUGGACGUAUACGGUGUGACGCCUGCCCGGUGCCGGAAGGUUAAUUGAUGGGGUUAGCGGCAACGCGAAGCUCUUGAUCGAAGCCCCGGUAAACGGCGGCCGUAACUAUAACGGUCCUAAGGUAGCGAAAUUCCUUGUCGGGUAAGUUCCGACCUGCACGAAUGGCGUAAUGAUGGCCAGGCUGUCUCCACCCGAGACUCAGUGAAAUUGAACUCGCUGUGAAGAUGCAGUGUACCCGCGGCAAGACGGAAAGACCCCGUGAACCUUUACUAUAGCUUGACACUGAACAUUGAGCCUUGAUGUGUAGGAUAGGUGGGAGGCUUUGAAGUGUGGACGCCAGUCUGCAUGGAGCCGACCUUGAAAUACCACCCUUUAAUGUUUGAUGUUCUAACGUUGGCCCGUAAUCCGGGUUGCGGACAGUGUCUGGUGGGUAGUUUGACUGGGGCGGUCUCCUCCUAAAGAGUAACGGAGGAGCACGAAGGUUGGCUAAUCCUGGUCGGACAUCAGGAGGUUAGUGCAAUGGCAUAAGCCAGCUUGACUGCGAGCGUGACGGCGCGAGCAGGUGCGAAAGCAGGUCAUAGUGAUCCGGUGGUUCUGAAUGGAAGGGCCAUCGCUCAACGGAUAAAAGGUACUCCGGGGAUAACAGGCUGAUACCGCCCAAGAGUUCAUAUCGACGGCGGUGUUUGGCACCUCGAUGUCGGCUCAUCACAUCCUGGGGCUGAAGUAGGUCCCAAGGGUAUGGCUGUUCGCCAUUUAAAGUGGUACGCGAGCUGGGUUUAGAACGUCGUGAGACAGUUCGGUCCCUAUCUGCCGUGGGCGCUGGAGAACUGAGGGGGGCUGCUCCUAGUACGAGAGGACCGGAGUGGACGCAUCACUGGUGUUCGGGUUGUCAUGCCAAUGGCACUGCCCGGUAGCUAAAUGCGGAAGAGAUAAGUGCUGAAAGCAUCUAAGCACGAAACUUGCCCCGAGAUGAGUUCUCCCUGACUCCUUGAGAGUCCUGAAGGAACGUUGAAGACGACGACGUUGAUAGGCCGGGUGUGUAAGCGCAGCGAUGCGUUGAGCUAACCGGUACUAAUGAACCGUGAGGCUUAACCUU